AAUCCCUCGAGACGGAAUUCCCAAUCCUCGAUUCCAAUUUCCGGAGCUUCUGCGCUUCCCACGGCAUUCUUACAGGUUCUUCUCCCCUCCAUGUUCGUUUGCCGAGACGAAGCUUUCAGCAGCCACAAUGAAGAACUCUGAUCGUAAAUAUGCCUUUUAUAUAUCUCCAUCUCCAUGUCGGAGGAGCAAGGCAUUGUAGGGUUAAAGCUAGAUUCAUACGUUGGUCUCCGGUGACCAUUUACUCUGUGAAAAAAGGUCAUCGAAUUCCAUCCUCGUUCUGUUCUGCAGUGGAAGAUUUUCUCUUGCAUGACCUCCAUGCCUUAGCUGCACAUGCAGAAGAACAGCCUUCCUCGGAGAGGCUUAGGCAGGGUGUGGACCAGGUCUUCGCGAUCAUAGAUACCAUACACCAACCCUGGAUAAAUGGCAUGGAGCUGUUGGAAGAUGCUCAAAAGAAUAAGCGUGCGUUAUCAACUGGAUGUGAAAGGAUAGAUUCGCUGCUCAACGGUGGAUUACAUGAAGGACAUGUGACCGAGCUGGCCGGGCCUUCUUCAUCUGGUAAAACACAACUUUGCCUACUAGCUGCUGCAAAUGUCGCAUACCAGCAUAAAGGUGGUGUCACCUAUGUGGAUACAGGAAAUUCCUUUUCCCCCAAGCGUAUUGCUCACUUUAUUGGCCAGGUUGACCAAAAAGUACUUCGAACAGUUAUGAACAGCAUAGUAUGCCACCGUGUGUAUGACAUCUUCACACUGCUUGCAAUGCUACAUGAGCUGGAGUUCAGAAGGAAGUCGCAGAUGUGCAAGGGAGAUGGUGGUGUGAGCCUGCUGAUUAUUGAUUCCAUCUCGUCUUUAAUUACUCCAAUCCUUGGAAGCAAUAGUCCACAGGGGCGCGCUUUGAUGAUAUCUACUGGGUCACUGCUGAAGAAGCUAGCACAUGAAUACAAUAUUGCAGUACUGGUUACAAAUCACACUGUUGGUGGAAAUCGAGGCACUAUUAAACCAGCUCUUGGGGAGAGUUGGAAGACCAUCCCUCACACGAGGCUUCUUUUUUUCCGUGUUUGUGGAAGCAAUACUUGUGAUGUAUCCAUACUCAAGCACCCGUAUGUGGUAAGCUGUCACCGACUCCUCCUAUGCUUACUGAGAAUUUACUCAGCCAUCACUUUUUUACAAUGUUCUUAUGCCCUUCUACCCCAUGAUCUCCAUUACACUGUGGAAAAUUGACUAACGGGAUCUUCUCCUCAAUUAUUUUAUGGGAAUAUGCUGCUUGCCUUUUCUAAAAUGUUUAUAGUUUUGUAUUAUUUGCGAGUUUUGGAGUUCUUAUAUGUCUCCAACAGGCUUCGGGUAAAGCUGCAAAGUUCACAAUUCAUGACUAAAAUGUGUGAAAUAUCAGAUGGAACUUACUGAGGAGUGUCAGUGCUCCUCAGUUUGAGCUGUUUGAACCAACCGCUCCAUGGGAAAGAAAGUGAAGGUACCUGCUCCAAAUAAUCCACUCCACAAUAUUAUGUCAAUGUCUCCACUCUCUAUAUAAACCACCCAGCUCUUCUCCACCUAUCAUCUCCUCAACAAAGCAAAACCUCCACAGAAAACCAUAAACACUGCAUAUCAUCAAAGACCUACGAAGUUACACUUCAAAACUCUUCCAGGAAAAUG